CUCAGUUCGGAUUGGAGUCUGCAACUCGACUCCAUGAAGCUGGAUUCGCUAGUAAUCGCGCAUCAGCCAUGGCGCGGUGAAUACGUUCCCGGGCCUUGUACACACCGCCCGUCAAGCCAUGGAAGCCGGGAGUGCCUGAAGUGUGCAACCGCAAGGAGCGCCCUAAGGUAAAACUGGUGACUGGGGCUAAGUCGUAACAAGGUAGC
rnacentral:rRNA from 1 species